CCUACGGGCGGCAGCAGUGGGGAAUAUUGCACAAUGGGGGAAACCCUGAUGCAGCGACGCCGCGUGAGUGAGGAAGUAUUUCGGUAUGUAAAGCUCUAUCAGCAGGGAAGAAAAUGACGGUACCUGAGUAAGAAGCCCCGGCUAACUACGUGCCAGCAGCCGCGGUAAUACGUAGGGGGCAAGCGUUAUCCGGAUUUACUGGGUGUAAAGGGAGCGUAGACGGCCAAGCAAGUCAGAAGUGAAAAGCCAGGGCUCAACUUUGGGACUGCUUUGGAAACUGAGUAGCUGGAGUGCAGGAGAGGUAAGCGGAAUUCCUAGUGUAGCGGUGAAAUGCGUAGAUAUUAGGAGGAACACCAGUGGCGAAGGCGGCUUACUGGACUGUAACUGACGUUGAGGCUCGAAAGCGUGGGGAGCAAACAGGAUUAGAUACCCGAGUAGUC
rnacentral:rRNA from 1 species